rnacentral:rRNA from 1 species
AAUACCGUAUAAGCCCUUCGGGGGAAAGAUUUAUCGGGAAAGGAUUGGCCCGCGUUAGAUUAGAUAGUUGGUGGGGUAAUGGCCUACCAAGUCUACGAUCUAUAGCUGGUUUUAGAGGAUGAUCAGCAACACUGGGACUGAGACACGGCCCAGACUCCUACGGGAGGCAGCAGUGGGGAAUCUUAGACAAUGGGCGCAAGCCUGAUCUAGCCAUGCCGCGUGUGUGAUGAAGGUCUUAGGAUCGUAAAGCACUUUCGCCAGGGAUGAUAAUGACAGUACCUGGUAAAGAAACCCCGGCUAACUCCGUGCCAGCAGCCGCGGUAAUACGGAGGGGGUUAGCGUUGUUCGGAAUUACUGGGCGUAAAGCGUACGUAGGCGGAUUGGAAAGUUGGGGGUGAAAUCCCAGGGCUCAACCCUGGAACUGCCUCCAAAACUAUCAGUCUAGAGUUCGAGAGAGGUGAGUGGAAUUCCAAGUGUAGAGGUGAAAUUCGUAGAUAUUUGGAGGAACACCAGUGGCGAAGGCGGCUCACUGGCUCGAUACUGACGCUGAGGUACGAAAGUGUGGGG